AAAAGUAUUACUUCUGAAUCAAAAACAUACUGAUUGUAAAGUGUUAACGUUUAUAAUCAUUUUUAUUACUGUAAUGAAGUUAUAGUAGACAUAUAACAUUUUUGAUAUUUUUAUUAUAUUUUAGCAAACAAAACCAUGAGAGAUGAAUUCUCAGAUUUUUCUAAAAAAUAUUGUUAUUGGUGUAAAUCCAGGAACUUUUCAUUACUUCAUCUUUUUAAGGACUGUGCUGCAUUAGAAAAAUAUUGUAAAAAAUAUCAAAUCAUUGUAAUAAUUAAUACAAGCCAAGACCUAAAUUACAGAGCUAGGCUAGGUAACCUAGCAAUAAACAAUAUGUAUAAAAUAAAUAACUUUUAUUGAAAAUUAGUGCUAAUUAAACAUUUUAUUAAUUAAUCUUACUAUGUAAGCAUAUGUAUAUAAAAAUUUAUUUAUAUGUUUAUAUAAUUAUAUUGUCAGAAAGUUGUAUAAUUUUACUGUUGUGAUUAUAGAAUUGUUUAGUCGAAGCAAACCAGUGAGUAAACGUACUGACUUCCUCACAACAGGCUCCAAGCUUAUUACAGACUUUAGUUUACAAUUGGAUAAUUACCUACAAGAUACUCUUGAGGAGAAUGAAAACAACAAUGGAAAUUUAAUUCAAUAAAACAUUCAAGAUUUUUCAGAAAAAUGAUACUCAAAUGUAAAUUUUCUGGUUGUAUAUAUUGUUCAAGACACUUUUCUAGUUAGAUGCAAUGAGGGGAUCAAGUUCCCUUUAUAUACACAUCAACCAUUAGAAGAGGAAAUUUAUAGACUAUUGAAACCUUUAAAUUCAGAAGAGUCAGUCUGAUACAUGGUGAAAAGGAGAUGUAUUUAAUGGAGAUCCAUUUAGGCAUUAAAUUGUGCUGAUGGAAACUUAAUAGAAAUUGCAGCUGGAUAUGCUUGAUGAGUCACUUCGUCUUUGACUUUAAAA